AUUAUGUUUAUGUUUUUGGGAUCCAGGGUAUCAAUUACAGAAAAUAUACAAAUAUAAAACCAGAGAAGUAAAGCUUUAACUGAUCUUUUAAACCUUAAAAAACUUUUAAAAACUUUAACUUUUAAUUUAAUCUUUGAUUUGGAGAUAACAAUAUUAACUCACAAUACACUUUUCUUUCUAAAAUUUACUUUUUAGCUCUGCUCACUAAGACAGCCUAAAAGCAGAUACAACCAAAUAACAAUUAGCAUCAAAUCAUGGUCUUCAAACUACCACUUAGCAUUUAAAGAAACUAAAGUUCCUCAGCUUCCUUAUUCCAAGUUGGGGCAGGAAAUGGUAAGAUGAGCCUUGAGCAUGAAAGCAAAGGAUGUCCUUUAAAUGCCACCAUUUUUAUGGUUUCCCCCACAGGCUAAACAUGUGAUGAUAUGAUUUUUAAAAAUGGCUGCAAUCGAUUAAAACUCAAAUACCUAAAAACCCCUGCAUUCACUAAAAUACUAAAGCACUUAUUAGCAGAUUAGUUACCUCUGGAAGUUUUUAGGACAUAACUCAUUACUGUAAAAACAGAAAAAUAAAGGGAAAGAAUCCAACAUCUCUUCUUUCUUUAUGGACUAUAUUUCAGGGUAAACAUCAAAUAGGUAAUGUAAGAAAGUUCAUUAUAUAAUCACAACUAAAGAAUGAAGAAGGAAAGGUAAAAUUUUUAAAAUUUCAAUUUUGCAAUUUCUCACAAAAUAACAGAUCAUGGGAUGAUCAUUAACAGCAGACAAAACCAUUAAGUAAAAAGUGGUAACGUGAGACAUAGUCACCAAAUGCACCAAAUUCUGAUUUGAACAAAACAACUCCUAACUACAAAGAAAGCUCUGAGUUAAAAUGGAGAAAACUGAACACAAACUAAGUACUUGAAGAUAUUAAUAAAGAAUUGUUAAUUUUGUUAGAUGUAAUAAUACUGUGACUUUGUUUCUUUAAAAUGUAUACCUGGUACAGAUAAAGCUAAAGUAGGGUCGAAACGAUACAGUAUCUGGAAUUUGCUUCAAAAUACUACAAACAUGUAUAUAGGGGAGAGGGUGAUAUUGAUAACUUUUGAAUGUGGGAAAUGGGUCCAGAUGGGUCCAUGGAUUGCUGUUACACAGUUCUCUAUAGUGCAUGCUUGACAAUUUUAUAACAGAUAUUCAAACUAGUAUAUUUCUCUUAACAUUUUAAAGGGUUUGUACCAAUGUCUUUUGGACUCUAGUGUGAGACUGUGGCGUUCAGUAACAUUCAUAUUCAAAGACUCUAUUUAAUUAUCUGUUUUUUCCCUGUCUGGAAGUUCUUAGGAUCUUCUUUUGAUUUUUAAUGAGUUUUGAAAUUUCAGAAUAAUGUACCUUUGUACAAGUAUGUGGACUUACUGUAUGCACUUAGCAUUUGCAACCCAGUGACUAUGUUUUUAGUUUGGGCCUGGGAAAUUUAAUGUGUUGUUUCCUUAAUACACUAAUAAGUGUAAGAUAAAUUCUAGCCAAAAUAAGCAGGUGACGAGAGGCAACAAAGGGCCAGUUUAUUUGAGUGCAAUUCCCGGGUGAUGUUCCCCAGUCUGGGUAUUAUAGGCUGGGAAAGUCACACCUGGUCAGGGAGGUAGGGGCUUAUAAGGGGUUAGGAGGGGGAGGAGUGGAAAAGCUAUCCUAGGGGGUGUGGAGAGGUAUGAUUGGCUAAAGGUGACAUAAUAGACAACUAGAAACUUUUUUUCCUUCCAAGAGGGAGGAGGCUGAUAUCUGGGUCUUAGUUGGCACAUCAGAAGGAUGGAAUUCAGAAGAGCUGCCCCCUUUCCAUAUAAGGCUCGGACCUUGGGGGCUGGUCUGUUCUUCUUUUAUGGCAUCUGUCUGUUCUGUUUGCAUGUCUUUGUUUUUUCUUCCUCCAGCCUAACAAUAAGGUUCCUCAUUUCUGUUAUUGUCUACUAGGUUAAAUAUUGAACCUAACCUCAAAUUUCUCCCUUUCUCUCUUACUUUGUCUUUUGUUCUGCAUCCUGGGAGAGUUACCCAAUUAUUUCUUUCAAAGCUUCCACUGAAUUUUUUAUUUCUGCUUUUGUACUUUUCAUUCCAGGAACUUUCUCACCCACCCUCCUCUUUUUUUUCUCAUAGCACCCAUUUUUGUUUUUGUUUUUCUUUUAGGCAGUAUGUGUCUGAAGCUGUUAAUUAUCAUUUCCUCAAAGUGUUUACAGUCCCUGCAUUUUCAGUUUCCUGCUUCAUUCGUCGGUGCCUCCAAGACACAAUCCUGGGAAAAACUGCAUCUCCGCCGGUUAUAGAUUUAUCCUGGAAGGAUGGGCCUGAAGCUCCGGCAAGUGGUACCACAUUAAAGAAACAGUAUCUACAACAGCCCUAGAGCCAGACAAAAUUCAGGACGUAAAUGGGCAGAUGGAUGGAUGAACACAUAUUUUCAUAAGUUUUCACCAGGCCUUUUAUAUUUUAAAAGAAAAAAAUUUUUAAGCUUUUUGUUCACACUAUCACACUUUCAGACAGCCUUCAGUUUGAUAAGAACAAUGUGUAGGGCUCUCUGAACUGGGCAAAUCUUUUAACAUUUUUGUGUUGGGGUCUUUUCCUUCCUGUGUAACAAUAAUGUUAUGCAGUAGUAUAACAGUAGUAUAACUCUGUUCGGGUUUCUGGACCUGAUUCCAAAGUUUGUGUGUGUGGAGGAGGGGGGUUCUUCCCACACACACACCACCAAGCAAUUCUCUUAACACCAGCAGGGGUCCAAGAACUUAACUCAAUUUUGACACUAUCUGCCCAGGUUUUGUCAGGUUUCCCCAGGUUAAGGGCUCCAUCCUACACCCCAACUCCAGGCACAUGUGCUUCCCCUUAGCUUUGAUUAAUUUGCUAAAGGGGCUCAGAGGACUUAGGAAAACACUUACCUUUACCAGUUAAAUAAAGGAUACAAGUUAACAGCCAGAUGAAGAGAUACAUAGGGGGAGGUCCCAAAUAAAGCAGUUUCUAUCCUGGUGGAGUUUGGGCCCUGGCUCGGUGGCACAUGGAGGCGUUCUGCUUCCCCAAGAGUUGAAGCUCUGCCUCCAGCAGAGAAGCAGGAUCCAAGGGAGCUCUUCUCUGGGAGUUUUUGCAAGGGGUUUCAUUGCAUACUCAUGAUUGACUAAAUUAUUGGCCACUGGCUGAUUCAACUUCAGCCCCAACCCUUGGGUGGGGCCCAAGUCUCUCACUAACAUGAUAAAAAUCCAUUUCACCUUUAAGACUCUGCAGUGUUUUCAGGAAUUGUGGAUGAAGACCAAAUAUAACUGGGAAAUAUGUAUUUCUUAUGACUCAUUAUAUCACAACUUGUAUCAUUCUUUGGUGGGUUCAGUUGCCAGUCUUAGGAUGUGACCAACAGGGGAGUAGUGUUCACUGUCCAUAAUUUAUACAAUGACAUCAUUAUCUAUCUUGUUAGUAAAAAAAAGUGUUCAUGUAAUUAUGAUGUAAGCUAAAGGAUACACAAAAUAUGCAAAGUUCAAAACUAAAGGUUACACAUGUACAUUUAUGGAAUAUACACAUACAUAUUGAAAUAAAAGUACAUAAGCAAUGUUUUGAGGAGAUUAAAGAGAAUAAAAAAAUAUUAGGACAACUAGCAAGUUCAUAAACUUAGAACAAUGUAUAUGUUAGAAAUAACUUUCUACAUCUAUAGCAUCUGAAGGGAAAAAGAAGUUUAUUCUCCAGAAAACUAACACUCAAACUUACUAGCAAGAAAAAAAAAAAUGUGAGGGAAACUUUCACAUCUGCAACUUAUUCAGACCCUCUUUCUCCUCUGAAUUUGAUUUCAUAAAUGUUUCUGUCUCCUUCUUUGCAGGUUUCUCCUGCAAGGAAGCAGCAUUUGUAAAAGGUUAAGUUUUACUGAGGUUAGAAACUACUAAUUAGUUAUUCUCUUCUUGCUUCCCAUCUAGUGUUAGUUCAUUAACAGUCAGCUGGUAAAAAGUUUCACAAUCUAAUAUGUUUGUGGGGUGGGGGAAGGAAUAAAGUAGAAGGUUUGAGCUUUAAUAGUGUUUUUUUUUCCAUUUUUUUAUAUCAAGUUUUUUAUUUUUUGGAAUUUAUUAUCAAGUUUUCUUAAUAUCUGAUAAUCAAAAGUACUAAAUUUUUCUAUAGUAACUUUUUUUAAAGAACUUUGGCCUCAAAAACGCUGGCCUCUAACAAAGAUGUUAACGGUAGGAGUGGAAAGAUAGAAUAAUGGGGGGAAGUAAUUUCUGCUCUCAAUGAAGUAUACAUUAUAACAACAUAUUUCUUGAAAUUACUUUCAUUAUGAUGAAAUUAAAUAUGAUUUGCUGUUUCAAGAUCUGCUAACCUCCUACUUAAACAUAAACACAUGAACAUAUUCUAAAGCUAACACAAAUUAUUUCUGAUUUAUCCCUGGCAGACUUUGAGGCAUAACGAGUAAUUUAAUAAGACUGCCACCACUGUUGAAGGCUGACUCCCAACAUCAACAAGAAAGCUGCUGGAAAUAACACUUUGUGGAAACUAUGAAAGACCUUGGAGGCAUCAGACCUGUUCUUGGAUGGAGUGUGAUGGAAAACGACAUACCAUCUGAGAUUAAGAUGCUAUCACAUAAUACAGGGAAGUGAGAUACUCUAGAAAAACCCAUGUGAUGAACUCAAAUAAGAUUUAGAGAAGACAAACAACAGACAAUAGUGCUCCUAUAACUGAGAAGAUGAACUAACUACUGGCCUCAAUUAUGCUGCCUCUAUUCUUUAGGACAAUCACAUAUAAACCACUCCAGAUUAUUUCUCCUUUUUUUUGAUUCCCUAGUCCCCAAAUAAAUCCCAAAGCAGAUGACUAGAUGGGCAUAAAUAGGGUUGAGGCAAUAUAGUAUUGGUGGUAAAAAGCACAGACUUGGAAGCUACAACAAUUAUGUUGAAUCCUAGCUAUGCUAGUUACUACAUGUAUCACUACAGGUGAUUUACUUGGCCUCUCUGUGCUGCAGUCUGUGUAGUAAUUGUAUCUAAUUACCUCAUAGGGUUACUAUAGGAUUAAAUGAGUUUGAAAAAGUGCUUAGAAAAGUGUUCUAAACUGCGUGUUUACCAUGGUACAUGUGAUGAUGAUACACUGUCAAUAUAAACACAUUUUUUAACUGUCCUCAAACCUGUAUAUGACUGCUAUUUUCCAGGUUUUAAAAUAUCUUCCAUACAACUGAACAAAGUAUUUUUGUUCCCACUUUACAAAUAGGUUUUACAGAAAAACUGAGAAACUAAUGGGACUAAGUAACACAAACUAGAACACAGCCUAGUACACAUACACAAUAGGCUGAUUCUAAUCUGCUCUGUAAAAUUGUUUCCCUGCAAGAGAUUUUGUUUGAUUUUAUGGCAGUUACUACAAGUUAAAUUCUGAGGAAGAAGUACAUUUUCAACUUAAAUAAAAAAAUAAAAAAACAAUAUAUAAAAUCACAUAAAUACUAGAAAUGAAGUAAAGGUUUGGUGAAGGAAAAAAAAUAUAUUGAUAAUAGCAGCUCUUCUUUUUCAAUUUCCAAAGAGGGAGACACUUAUCCUAAGCACUUAAUAUGCAUGAUCUCAUUUAAUCCUAUUAAAUAAUUACUGUUAUUCUACAGAUAAGGCAACUGAAGUUUGGAGGUAUUAAAUGACUUGAUAAAAUCAAACAGCUGAAAAGAGGGAGAGCCAAUACUCAAUUCUAGGUCUAUCUAAUGCCAAUGCCAAUGCCUUUAACCACUCUUCAUGCUGCUUGAAGGCAAUACACAUUUUAUUGAGCACACAUAUUGAAACCCAAAAUCUUCAAUAUAAUGGAAGAAUGCCCAAAUUAAACAAAACAAAACCCAUAAUGCUCUUUAUUUAAUUCUCUAACAUAUACCAGUCAAAACAGCAAAGUUCAUGCCCUGUCAGAACUACUACUUAUUUUAAUAGCAUCCCUGAUGUCUCAGAGUCAGAGGGUAAGAAACUUUUUAACCUUCUUUGAAACACAAAAAUGGGUCUCAAAACACUAUUCCAAAACACUGCAAACAUAUGUAAAUCACAUUAAUGAGUUGAAAUAAAAUAUUUUUCACUGCUCCAA